AUUCUCUUAUUCCAUUAUCUCAGCAAUCUCCCAACCUCAUCUCUGACGAAUUUCAUUACGUUAUAUUUUUUAUAAUAGUGUAGUUGUCACCUUUUUGAGAAAAUGGCAGGUAUUCGACAAUUUCUUAAAAAUGUGUACGAAGAUUCUUUUAACUGGUGUCUAGUUAAAAGCGUUGGAUUGUUUGCUCUGGGAGUAAAAAUCGCUUUGGAAUGCAAAGGAAUGGAAUUGAUGCCACCGAUUACUAGUUGAAUGUACAACGAAUUCAUUGUAUAUAUUAUUUCAGUUCGUUAUUAUAAUCAGGUUCAGAAAAGGAUUUACUGGCUUACAAAUUAACUUUACCAUACAUCAACUUUAUAUAACAUGUCUUAAAGAUAUAAUCCAAUGUCAUUGCUACAUUGUAUUGUGUAUGUUUAUUUUGAGAGAAUAGCAUCUAUUGUAAUAAAAUGAUAUCGUAACUAUAAUUAUUAUUCUUAAAUACAGUUGUGAAAUAGUGAAACAGUUUUUGAAGAGAAAAAAAAGGAAAGAAAACAGGG